UACGUAGGGGGCAAGCGUUGUCCGGAUUUAUUGGGCGUAAAGAGCGUGUAGGCGGCCUGAAAGGUCAGCUGUGAAAACUCGAGGCUCAACUUCGAGACGUCGGUUGAAACCAUCUGGCUAGAGUCCGGAAGAGGAGAGUGGAAUUCCCGGUGUAGCGGUGAAAUGCGCAGAUAUCGGGAAGAACACCCGUGGCGAAGGCGGCUCUCUGGGACGGUACUGACGCUGAGACGCGAAAGCGUGGGGAGCGAACAGG
rnacentral:rRNA from 1 species